GACGAACGCUGGCGGCGUGCCUAAUACAUGCAAGUUGAGCGAUGAAGAUUGGUGCUUGCACCAAUUUGAAGAGCAGCGAACGGGUGAGUAACGCGUGGGGAAUCUACCUUUGAGCGGGGGACAACAUUUGGAAACGAAUGCUAAUACCGCAUAACAACUUUAAACAUAAGUUUUAAGUUUGAAAGAUGCAAUUGCAUCACUCAAAGAUGAUCCCGCGUUGUAUUAGCUAGUUGGUGAGGUAAAGGCUCACCAAGGCGAUGAUACAUAGCCGACCUGAGAGGGUGAUCGGCCACAUUGGGACUGAGACACGGCCCAAACUCCUACGGGAGGCAGCAGUAGGGAAUCUUCGGCAAUGGACGAAAGUCUGGCCGAGCAACGCCGCGUGAGUGAAGAAGGUUUUCGGAUCGUAAAACUCUGUUGGUAGAGAAGAACGUUGGUGAGAGUGGAAAGCUCAUCAAGUGACGGUAACUACCCAGAAAGGGACGGCUAACUACGUG
rnacentral:rRNA from 1 species